rnacentral:rRNA from 1 species
GACGAACGCUGGCGGCGUGCCUAAUACAUGCAAGUCGAACGCAGUGGGGACGGGUGAGUAACACGUGGGUAACCUCCCAUCAGAGGGGAUAACACUUGGAAACAGGUGCUAAACCGACACUGAUGUAUCUACCCGCGGUGCAUUAGCUAGUUGGUGGGGUAACGGCUCACCAAGGCUACGAUGCAUAGCCGACCUGAGAGGGUGAUCGGCCACACUGGGACUGAGACACGGCCCAGACUCCUACGGGAGGCAGCAGUAGGGAAUCUUCGGCAAUGGACGAAAGUCUGACCGAGCAACGCCGCGUGAGUGAUGAAGGUCUUCGGAUCGUAAAACACUGUUAGUAGGGAAGCGGUACCUAAACAGAAAGCAACGGCUAACUACGUGCCAGCAGCCGCGGUAAUUC